rnacentral:rRNA from 1 species
GUCGAGAAUUUUUCACAAUGGGCGCAAGCCUGAUGGAGCGACGCCGCGUGGGGGAUGAAUGGCUUCGGCCCGUAAACCCCUGUCAUUUGCGAGCAAUGCCUCGUGCCUAACACGUGCGAGGUUGAUAGUAGCGAAAGAGGAAGGGACGGCUAACUCUGUGCCAGCAGCCGCGGUAAUACAGAGGUCCCAAGCGUUGUUCGGAUUCACUGGGCGUAAAGGGUGCGUAGGUGGCAAGGUAAGUUCGAUGUGAAAGCCCCGGGCUUAACUCGGGAAUGGCAUUGAAUACUCUCUUGCUCGAGGAUCGGAGGGGAGACUGGAAUUCUCGGUGUAGCAGUGAAAUGCGUAGAUAUCGAGAGGAACACCAGUGGCGAAGGCGAGUCUCUGGACGAUUCCUGACGCUGAGGCACAAAAGCUAGGGGAGCAAACAGGAUUAGAUACCCUGGUAGUCC